UUUUGUUGGAGAGUUUGAUCCUGGCUCAGGACGAACGCUGGCGGCGUGCUUAACACAUGCAAGUCGAGCGGAAAGGCCCUUCGGGGUACUCGAGCGGCGAACGGGUGAGUAACACGUGAGCAACCUGCCCUAGGCUUUGGGAUAACCCUCGGAAACGGGGGCUAAUACCGGAUAUUCACUGUUG
rnacentral:rRNA from 1 species